AUUGAACGCUGGCUGCAGGCCUAACACAUGCAAGUCGAGCGGAUGAGUGGAGCUUGCUCCAUGAUUCAGCUGCGGACGGGUUAGUAAUGCUUAGUAAUCUGCCUGGUAGUGGGGGACAACGUUUCGAAAGGAACGCUAAUACCGCAUACGUCCUACGUGAGAAAGCAGGCGACUUUCGCUCCUUGCGCUAACCGAUGACCCUAGGUCGGAUUAGCUAGUAGGUGACGUGAUGGCUCACCUAGGCGACGAUCCGUAACUGGUCUGAGAGGAUGAUCAGUCACACUGGAACUGAGACACGGUCCAGACUCCUACGGGAGGCAGCAGUGGGGAAUAUUGGACAAUGGGCGAAAGCCUGAUCCAGCCAUGCCGCGUGUGUGAAGAAGGUCUUCGGAUUGUAAAGCACUUUAAGUUGGGAGGAAGGGCAGUAAGUUAAUACCUUGCUGUUUUGACGUUACCAACAGAAUAAGCACCGGCUAACUUCGUGCCAGCCGCCGCCGUAACAC
rnacentral:rRNA from 1 species